rnacentral:rRNA from 1 species
GCUGGAAUUGCUAGUAAUGGCAGGUCAGCAUACUGCCGUGAAUACGUUCCCGGGGCCCUUGUACACACCGCCCGUCACACCAUGAGAGUUGGGAAUACCCGAAGCCUGUGAGCUAACUUUUAGAGGCAGCAGUCGAAGGUAGAAUCAAUGAUUGGGGUGAAGUCGUAACAAGGUAUC